UACGUAGGGGCCUAGCGUUGUCCGGAUUUAUUGGGCGUAAAGAGCUCGUAGGCGGUUAGACACGUCGGAUGUGAAAACUGGGGGCUCAACUCCCAGCCUGCAUUCGAUACGGUCUGACUAGAGUGUGGUAGGGGUAACUGGAAUUCCUGGUGUAGCGGUGAAAUGCGCAGAUAUCAGGAGGAACACCGAUGGCGAAGGCAGGUUACUGGGCCACCACUGACGCUGAGGAGCGAAAGCGUGGGGAGCAAACAGG
rnacentral:rRNA from 1 species